rnacentral:lncRNA from 1 species
UACAUUCACCGAUCAGCGACAGUAACAACAACGGCAGCAAUCACAUGGGACGGUGUUUGUUGGCGAAACUAGCCAGCAAGACAACAUCAACUCGGGACAACAGCAGCGUGGUAGGACCACGAUUGCUGUCGACCCUCCUUACGCGCGCUGGAUCUGUCCGAUUCGAACAAUGGCGACAGGCACGAAGCAAGCGGCAACAGGAGCAGAGGCUCCGACAAGAGGCCGGCGAUUCACCGACAAUAAAAGUUGACAGCAGCGGUCUCUCGUGGCGAUGGAUCCUACGGCACUCUUUCACUCGUAAGCGCGCCUGCCUGGCUACUUGAUUACCUGUCUGCGUAGAAGCGGUUGCGCCUGUGGCACCUCACUGGCGCCCUCGCCGACGUCGCCAUCACCCAGGCAACAACGGCGCGCUGGCGUCGCUAGUGGCGGCUGUUAGGCGUACCUCUGUAGGCCGGCAGGCGUUUCGGCCGCCAACCAAUAUUUAACUCCCGAUAUUUGUCGUUCACUUACAAAUCCCCAACAUCAAUGCGGCGAGCGGCCAUUUUUUGCGAUAUCUAUGUAGUACGUCAAUUAUCGGCAAAACCACUUAUACGCUACAAGCGGACAGAUCAACAACGAUAAAUAGGGUAGAAUGUGUAUUUUGAAUGGUCAGACACUGAUCAUCGUUGUUAAUACGAGCGCUUUUAAGCUCAAAUAGUCUACGACAUAUAUUUUCGCUUGAUGCAAUGUUAGUCACCGUUUGGCUUAUGCACACUUGCCAAUUGCAGUGCCAACUAUUGUUCUUAGCUUGUAAAUAUGCACGAAGUUUCUAGUACAACAUACAGAGACUACGGUAAAGUUACAACAGCUUUAAGGUACAACUGAAUAGUUCAAGCGCUUUUCCAAGCUGCUCCAGAACACACGGAAUGGCGCAAGUGAGCGAUGAACGGCACUUCGCUUUGAAAUUUACGAUGGACACGAUCAUCUGGAAGAAGACAGAUACCACGAUGACGACGACAACAACAACAACCGCUCGUCGUAUAACGUCGGUAACAAUCGCUGCAGAUUCUUCAGUGAAGAAGAACAUUUCGUUGACAGACAAUAUUGAGUGGUCUAUCCACGCUAUGGUCUACACGCAUCCUUAAAAUGGACGUUUCAUUUAAAGAAGAUAUGGACAUCGCGUGACCUGGGAUAAGACUGUGUGAAUUACAAGAUAUGAUCGCUCACGAAAUCCAGAACGACAAAUGUAUAACAGUCUUACAAUCUACCGCAUACUGUACCUGUGCAGAAAUGCUAAUGAUAGAUCUUCUUGGAAUGAAUAGGCCAACAAACACCGAUCUCAUACUUAGCUAGUUUCCAAGCUUACUGCGGUCACGGGGCGAAGAAAAAAAAUUUAUCUUGAAAUCUUCAUAUUUGCAGACAAGCACAAGCCAGCUGCACGUGUAGAAUUAUGUUAUCGCUAAUUUAUGUGCAAGACACCUAUUUAUAGGCCAGCUUACCAGUGUCUCGACUAGCUUUUAAUGUACGUUUGUUGACUUCUCGCCAAUCAGCUAUCUAAAAGCUGGAAAGGAAACGACGACGGCGACGCAAAAGGACAACCAUUCAAAGUUCGUACUGACGCGUCACCGUGAGCUGCGAACGCGAACGUGCUCUUCUUAGUCUGACGUUGUCUUCUCAUUACAAAAAUGUUCCAUGUAUAAUUCCUGUGAAUAUUUGCGUUAGCAAUUCCUGGUACUGCACCCAUAGACUUUAUAAAUACAUUGUUAUGUAAAACAAAUCCUCUACUAGACUCUUAUUUUUGUGGUAAUGUUUGUCGGUCACUAAGACAACGAGGUGCCGA